rnacentral:sRNA from 2 species
GACGCAAAGGAGAAGAAAAAGAGAAUAAAUAGAAUGUAAAACAUGAUGAAAAUUCUAUCAAAACUAAUCAUUACGAUUACGAUUCGGAUUACUGACAAGACCCAAUUUUGACCUGAGCGCUAGAGGAGCCUUUUUCAACAUUUUCAUUAAAUCCGGGACAAACUCACUCACGAGCUGUGGAAAAGAAUCCGACCAGUGGACUUGUUUUGACUCAUCAUGCACUCUAUUAUUCAGUCUGCUGCAGGAGGGGGCUGAAGUGAUGCCAAAUCCCGCUUACCAAUACAGGCAAUAUUUGCGUAGCUUGAUUGUUGGAGAAAAAAGCAGCAGAAAAUUUGAACUUGCCUUUCGGCCCUCGGCGAAGC